GACGAACGCUGGCGGCGUGCUUAACACAUGCAAGUCGAACGGAAAGGCCCUGCUUUUGUGGGGUGCUCGAGUGGCGAACGGGUGAGUAACACGUGAGUAACCUGCCCUUGACUUUGGGAUAACUUCAGGAAACUGGGGCUAAUACCGGAUAGGAGCUCCUGCUGCAUGGUGGGGGUUGGAAAGUUUCGGCGGUUGGGGAUGGACUCGCGGCUUAUCAGCUUGUUGGUGGGGUAGUGGCUUACCAAGGCUUUGGCGGGUAGCCGGCCUGAGAGGGUGACCGGCCACAUUGGGACUGAGAGACGGCCCAGACUGCUACGGGAGGCAGCAGUGGGGAAUAUUGCACAAUGGGCGGAAGCCUGAUGCAGCAACGCCGCGUGCGGGAUGACGGCCUUCGGGUUGUAAACCGCUUUCGCCUGUGACGAAGCGUGAGUGACGGUAAUGGGUAAAGAAGCACCGGCUAACUACGUG
rnacentral:rRNA from 1 species